CUUCUUGGGAGAAUCCUCCCGCCCUGUUUUGAAAUGUUUACAGUCAUCCUUUGUGUGUAUCUGGGGACCUACUGGCAGAUCUUGUUCUAACAGGGACCCUGGGGGCCUUGAAAUUGGUUCUGCAUUGUUCCAAAGAGGAAGGGCUGGUUUCUGCACUUUUAAUUGAGACUUUCCUGGUGGUCCAGUGGCUAAGACUCCGCCUUUCAAUGCGAGGGGUGCUGGUUCGAUCCCUGGUUGGGGAGCUGAGGUCUCACAUGCUUCUCGUGGCCAAAACCAAAACAUAAAAAGCAAAACUGUAACAAAUUUAACAGACUUUAAAAAUGAUUCAGGUAAAAAAAAAAACCCUCUCAAAAAAGGUACAAUUUUAAUAAAAUGCACUGCUCUCCCUCAUCCGGGAUUUGGGAUGGCCUUCCUUGGUCAGGUUGCUCCAGAGCCUGGUGAAGAGGGGGGCAGGGUCUUUUGGGGGAGACCACCGGGCCUCCAGUCUGUUACCUCCACCUUCUCUGUGGGCGAGGAUCCUGUGCUGGGACGCUUGCCCAAGGUCAUUGGGCCCACGAUUGACAGAACUUGGGCCUGAGCCCACAAGGCUCUGCCCCAAGGGCCGUGCUCUUAAUCACCCUUAUCCUGUGCUCUGUGAACUGCCUGCCCCCACCCCCAGGGGAGGACGGGCCCCUGGGGAGGGUCUGUGGUCUCUAGCAGCCGCACGGAGGUCUCUAGCAGCCGCACGGAGGUCUCUAGCAGCCUCAGGGAGGUCUCUGCGGCCGCACGGAGCAGAUGAGCCUUCUUCCACUUACUGCCACGGCAGCCCCAGGUCCAGAUGCAAAGCAGGCCAGCUCUAUCUUCUGCUGGGUCUGAACAGUAAAUUGCAGUGAUGUUGGUUAAGUGUGCAGUGUCCUCUACUAGUAAUACAGAAACUCGAUUCCUGUGAAUACAGGUGGAAACAUCCAGAGGACCAGUUGGCUGCCUUUUGUGUGAGGAUUUACUUCUACAGGUUUCUGCUUCCUUCAUCAGUGUUUGAAGAGACGCACCCUGGCCUUCUUCCUCUGGUCCCUGAACGCACUCCACGGGUGGCACUGCGCUCUCUCAGGGGAGCCCCCCUUUCUCCCAGGGGAACAGGCUGCUUCUCCGGAGCCCAAGGGCAAAUGGGCCUGAGGGCCUGGCAUGAGCUGGCCACAGAUCCCCCUCUAGGAGGCUGGUGGGCCUGGUGGGGGCAGGUGUCCUGCUAACCUUGUGUACACACAAACAUAACCCUAUUUUGCAUUUGUGUUUGCAGCUUGAACCUCAGGUUUAAUAAGUAAUCAAAUAUUUUUCCCUUUCAAUGUGGAUUUUUAAAAAAUUUGAGGUAUGCCUCUGAAUGUGGAUUGGGUCUGGAUGUUUGUUGUUAUUUAGUUGAUAUUUGAAAGAUGUAAAGCCUAUAAAAUAAUGAUGACGCUAGCUGAUGUAAGAGAAACAAACUUUGAGACAUGUUUGCAGAAAGAAGGGAUUAAAAACUUCCAAGAUUUAUGUUCCUCCAUUUCUGUGUUUGGUAAUCUUCAAAAAGCUUUGAAACAUUUGAAAGCCUAUCUAAGUGACUUCUGAAGUUUCAGAAACCUGUGCCUACAAAUAAAGGUUUCUGCUUUCUUCCAAGGUAGAAUUUCUGUUACUUACUUAUUAUUAUUUUCCUGAAGGUGGUGGAAACCAUUAAAACCCAGUCAUUGAAUUGUAAAAUUAAAAAAUACCAAAGAGUAAGAUUUGGAGAGCAUUUAUAAUUUUUCUAUACCUUUUAUAAAGUAAUACAUAGCCUUUGCAGAAAAUGUGUAACACACACACACACAAAAUGAAAUAAAG
ensembl:lncRNA